AUGGGAAUUUCCAUUGAUGAGUGCAAAGAAAGAACCGCUAGGAUGCAUGCUAAGAAAGAUUUCUUUGUGAAGGUGUGUUCUUCUAGUUUUUAUGAGAAUAAAGAUGAAGAUAUAAAAGUAAUUUAUGUGUCCCCUAUUAAAUCCUUGUUUUGCAAUAUUAAUCUUGAUAAUGAUGGGACUGGAGAUGAGUCAACUUUAGUUAGAUGGCAUCCCAAAAAUUCGGAGUUUUUAGAUCUUGAUGCAAAAUUUGGUAAAAGUGGGAUUGAAGAGGUUAAAACUCUAGAUAGCAACGAACCCACUAUCUUGGAUUUCAAGGAAUUUAAUUAUUAUAAUUGCUCUUUGAUAGAUUGUAUUUCUUUGUUGCAAUCCGUGCUAAAUUCUCCUCAUGCUUAUAGUCAAAAUAAAGCUUUUACUAAACAUAUCGUUGAUGCUUUGAAGCAAUCUUAUGAAGAAAAACUUGAGUUGGAAGUUUCUACCCCUAGAAAACUUUAUGAUUAG
rnacentral:rRNA from 1 species